CCUACGGGUGGCAGCAGUGGGGAAUAUUGGUCAAUGGGCGCGAGCCUGAACCAGCCAAGUAGCGUGAAGGAUGACUGCCCUACGGGUUGUAAACUUCUUUUAUAAAGGAAUAAAGUGAGGCACGUGGGCCUUUUUGUAUGUACUUUAUGAAUAAAGAUCGGCUAACUCCGUGCCAGCAGCAGCGGUAAUACGGAGGAUCCGAGCGUUAUCAGGAUUUAUUGUGUUUAAAGGGAGCGUAGAUGGGUUGUUAAGUCAGUUGUGAAAGUUUGCGGUUCAACCGUAAAAUUGCAAUUGAUCCUGGCAGUCUUGAGUACAGUUGAGGUAGGCGGAAUUCGUGGUGUAGCGAUGAAAUGCUUAGAUAUCACGAAGAACUCCGAUUGCGAAGGCAGCUUACUAAACUGCCACUGACAUUGAUGCUCGAAAGUGUGGGUAUCAAACAGGAUUAGAUACCCUGGUAGUC
rnacentral:rRNA from 1 species